rnacentral:lncRNA from 1 species
AUCAGGUACCUUUUCUCCUUCUGGAGUCGAUUCCUGGUCCACUUCCUCUUGUUUUUCAAUUUCUACAAACUCAGUUUCAUCCACAGACAUUCUGAAUAAUUUGCCUUUUCUACCCGAGCAUACACUGUUAUGGCUUGCUGAAAAUCUCUUAUCACAGUUGAAGCACAAUCCCUUGCUUCUUCUUUUAGCCCUUUCAGUUGCAGAUAACCUCUUAGAUCCUGGAAUUGUAUCAGAGGUCUUACUAUUA